rnacentral:rRNA from 1 species
UACGGAGGGGGCUAGCGUUGUUCGGAAUUACCGGGCGUAAAGCGCACGUAGGCGGCUUGGUAAGUUAGAGGUGAAAGCCUGGAGCUCAACUCCAGAAUUGCCUUUAAGACUGCCGAGCUAGCAGGUGAGAGAGGUGAGUGGAAUUCCGAGUGUAGAGGUGAAAUUCGUAGAUAUUCGGAAGAACACCAGUGGCGAAGGCGGCUCACUGGCCCGAUACUGACGCUGAGGCACGAAAGCGUGGGGAGCAAACAGG